rnacentral:rRNA from 1 species
GAAGCCGGAAUCGCUAGUAAUCGCGGAUCAGAAUGCCGCGGUGAAUACGUUCCCGGGUCUUGUACACACCGCCCGUCACACCAUGGGAGUCGGAAAUGCCCGAAGCCGGUGACCCAACCCGAAAGGGAGGGAGCCGUCGAAGGCAGGUCGGAUGACUGGGGUGAAGUCGUAACAAGGUAAC